CGCAAAUCCAUUUCCCCUCCCUUCCCAGCCCUCCCAAGACGCGCCAGCGAGCGGGCUGGUGCUGCCCACCGGCCUUUGAUGCUCAGAAGGGGAACUGCGGGGACUGUUUAGACUCCCAGAAAGGACAGGAGUCUUCGCAUCAACUCACGGCCUGGGGUCAGGUAGGAGUUCGAGGUUUCGUUAAGUGAUUGCCUGGGAAGAGAAGAGAUAUUCUGCCGCCUAAUGGAGGGCUCUCUCUCAAGGGUGCUGUGGUGCUUUUCUCACUUGGUUGGUGGCAGCUGCUGGUGAGGGCAUGAGGAUAAAAGCAGGGAUCGUGAGGCCCCAGGUGAGGUCUGCUCAGCCCACCCCUCACUCUUUGACAGUUGACUCUUCUGGACAAAAAUCAAGUCAGAGCUGGGCCCCAGUUUCACAGGACACGUUGGACAAGUGAAUUUGCUGAGUCACACCCUCCUCUCACCCGUCUCCAGCUCUGCACCUCCCACCCAGGGGCUCCCUGACCCGGCUGCCUCCCCCACCCCACACAGUGUCGGUGUGAGCCUACAUUUGUGUGCAUUUGUGUGUGUUGAAAACCAAAAAGCUAACUUCAUCCUCCAAGAAGUAAAAAUUGGAUCAAUGCAGCUUGCACCUCCCCUAAUCAGAAGCUGUCAAUCCAGUGACCGCUGGUGAGGAAAGACUGGCCUCCUAUCUGGUUCAGCACUCAAGGACUCUUUGAGAUGGAAGUGGCUACUGACACUAACGUCUCUGAGGACUUUCAUCAUUGUCCUCCCUGCCCAAAGGGUUACUCAGGAACAGCAGCACCAGCAUCCCUGGAAGCUUGUGGACGAGCAGAAUCUCAGCUCCAAACCAGACCCAAGGAAUCAGAGGCUGCAAUUUGACAAGACCUGCAGGUAGCUCACGAGCACGUGGAGGUUUGGGAAGCACUGUUCUUCAGCUCCGACAUGUGCCAGCCACUUCCCCCAAAGACAGCCAGCUCUUCGAAACUUUUCUACUCAUCAGCUAUCAUUGAGCUUUCUGAAGCAGCAUGUAGUAAGUCAGCCCCUUCUUUUCCAAGGAAACCUAUCACUUCACUCACCCCGUAAAUAUUUUUGGUGUGCCCACUUGGUGCUCAGUGUUUGCAGGGGAGGAAAGAUAAAUACGUGCAGAAGCAGUUCUGAAUCCCAUUAUUCCUCCUUCAGG
rnacentral:lncRNA from 1 species